GGGCACUAGAUGUUGACCCUACAAAUUUAGAGGUGCUUCUUGCACUUGGUGUGAGUCACACAAAUGAAUUAGAGCAAGCAGCUGCAUUAAGAUACUUGUAUGGAUGGUUACAGCAUCACCCAAAGUAUGGGACACUUGCAAAACCGGAGCUUUCUGAUUCGUUGUACUAUGCUGAUGUAGCUGGCUUAUUUAACGAAGCUGCACAAAUGUUUCCUGAUGAUGUUGAUGUGCACAUAGUACUUGGCGUCCUUUAUAAUUUGUCCAGAGAAUUUGACAAAGCUAUUGCAUCCUUUCAGACAGCCUUGAAACUAAAGCCGCAAGAUUAUUCUCUUUGGAACAAGCUAGGUGCUACACAAGCUAACAGCAUUCAAAGUGCUGAUGCUAUAUUAGCUUAUCAACAGGCACUUGAUUUG
rnacentral:misc_RNA from 1 species